rnacentral:rRNA from 1 species
GGCUGGCAAAUCCGCAGGCACGUUAAUCCCGAGAAGUGAGUACGAGGGUUCUUCGGAACCCGAAGUCGCUAAUGCCACGCUCCCGGGAAAAGCCUCUAAGCUUCAGGUUGUGAUUGACCGUACCGCAAACCGACACUGGUGGGUGGGGAGAUAAUCUCCCAAGGCGCUUGAGAGAACUCGGGUUAAGGAACUCUGCAAAUUGAUACCGUAACUUCGGGAGAAGGUAUGCCUCGUAUCGUUACUGGACUUGCUCCAGGAAGCGGAAUGAGGCCGCAGGUAAUCGGUGGCUGCGACUGUUUAUCAAAAACACAGGACUCUGCGAACACGCAAGUGGAUGUAUAGGGUCUGACGCCUGCCCGGUGCCGGAAGGUUAAUUGAUGGGGUCAGCCGCAAGGCGAAGCUCCUGAUCGAAGCCCCGGUAAACGGCGGCCGUAACAAUAACGGUCCUAAGGUAGCGAAAUUCCUUGUCGGGUAAGUUCCAACCUGCACGAAUGGCGUAACGCUGGCCACACUGUCUCGACCCGAGACUCAGUGAAGUUGAAAUCGCUGUGAAGAUGCGGCGUAGCUGCGGAAAGACGGAAAGACCCCGUGAACCUUUACUACAGCUUUACACUGAACUUUGACCUUGUUUGUGUAGGAUAGGUGGGACCCUGUGAAGCGGAGGCGCUAGCUUUCGUGGAGGGGACGUUGAAAUACCACCCUGAUAAGUUCGGAGUUCUAACCUUGGCCCGUUAUCCGGGUUGGGGACAAUGUAUGGUGGGUAGUUUGACUGGGGCGGUCUCCUCCCAAAGAGUAACGGAGGAGUGCAAAGAUACCCUCAGCGCGGUCGGUCAUCGCGCACAGAGUGCAAUGGCAUAAGGGUGUUUGACCGCGAGACGUACAUGUCGAGCAGGUGCGAAAGCAGGUCAUAGUGAUCCGGUGGUUCUGUAUGGAAGGGCCAUUGCUCAACGGAUAAAAGGUACUCCGGGGAUAACAGGCUUAUUCCUCCCAAGAGUCCACAUCGACGGAGGAGUUUGGCACCUCGAUGUCGGCUCAUCACAUCCUGGGGCUGUAGCAGGUCCCAAGGGUUCGGCUGUUCGCCGAUUAAAGUGGUACGCGAGCUGGGUUCAAAACGUCGUGAGACAGUUUGGUCCCUAUCUUCCGUGGCCGUUGGAGAUUUGAGGGUGAGCUGUCCUUAGUACGAGAGGACCGGGAUGGACGCACCUCUGGUGUUCCGGUUGUCACGCCAGUGGCACUGCCGGGUAGCUAUGUGCGGACGGGAUAACCGCUGAAAGCAUCUAAGCGGGAAGCCCCCCCCAAGACCAGAUCUCCCUGGGAACUCGAUUCCCCUGAAGGGCCCAAGUAGACGACUUGGUUGAUAGGCUGGGUGUGUAAGGCCAGUAAUGGUCUCAGCUAACCAGUACUAAUUGCCCGUGAGGCUUGAU